GACGAACGCUGGCGGCGUGCCUAAUACAUGCAAGUUGAGCGCUGAAGGUUGGUACUUGUACCAACUGGAUGAGCAGCGAACGGGUGAGUAACGCGUGGGGAAUCUGCCUUUGAGCGGGGGACAACAUUUGGAAACGAAUGCUAAUACCGCAUAAAAACUUUAAACACAAGUUUUAAGUUUGAAAGAUGCAAUUGCAUCACUCAAAGAUGAUCCCGCGUUGUAUUAGCUAGCUGGUGAGGUAAAGGCUCACCAAGGCGAUGAUACAUAGCCGACCUGAGAGGGUGAUCGGCCACAUUGGGACUGAGACACGGCCCAAACUCCUACGGGAGGCAGCAGUAGGGAAUCUUCGGCAAUGGACGAAAGUCUGACCGAGCAACGCCGCGUGAGUGAAGAAGGGUUUCGGAUCGUAAAACUCUGUUGGUAGAGAAGAACGUUGGUGAGAGUGGAAAGCUCAUCAAGUGACGGUAACUACACAGAAAGGGACGGCUAACUACGUG
rnacentral:rRNA from 1 species